rnacentral:tRNA from 1 species
GCCUGGGUGGCUUAGUUGGUUAAGCGUCUGACUUCAUCUCACGGUUUGUGGGUUCGAGCCCCGCAUCAGGCU